ensembl:lncRNA
UUCCAGUCUAUAGGUGAGACACUACAGGGUUCCAGUCUAUAGGUGAGACACUAUAGGGUUCCAGUCUAUAGAUGAACAACAACAAAUUGUAGCUAGUCUGUUAUUAUUGCUGAUUCAAUACAACACAGAAUGCUACGGCUUCAGUCAUUAAAUUAAUCUCAGAAAUGUUCAAUUUGACCACAAGCUAUUACAGCAAUGACAGUAUAUUGCCCUGCUGCUGUCUAAUGGUGUGUUGCUGUCUAAUGGUGUUGUCCUGCUGCUGUCUAAUGGCGUGUUGCCCUACUGCUGUCUAAUGGUGUGUUGUCCUGUUGCUGUCUAAUGGUGUGUUGUCCUGCUGCUGUCUAAUGGUGUGUUGUCCUGUUGCUGUCUAAUGGUGUGUUGUCCUGUUGCUGUCUAAUGGUGUGUUGUCCUGCUGCUG